rnacentral:rRNA from 1 species
GAUGAACGCUGACAGAAUGCUUAACACAUGCAAGUCUACUUGAACUUCGGUUUGGGUGGCGGACGGGUGAGUAACGCGUACAGAACUUGCCUCACAGUUAGGGACAACAUUUGGAAACGAAUGCUAAUACCUGAUAUUAUGAUUUUAGGGCAUCCUAGGAUUAUGAAAGCUAUAUGUGCUGUGAGAGAGCUUUGCGUCCCAUUAGCUAGUUGGAGAGGUAACGGCUCACCAAGGCGAUGAUGGGUAGCCGGCCUGAGAGGGUGAACGGCCACAAGGGGACUGGGACACGGCCCUUACUCCUACGGGAGGCAGCGGUGGGGAAUAUUGGAAAAUGGACAAAAAGUCUGAUCCAGCAAUCCUGUGUGCACAAUGACGUUUUUCGGAAUGUAAAGUGCUUUCAGUUGGGAAGAAAAAAAUGACGGUACCAACAGAAGAAGGGACGGCUAAUACGUG